rnacentral:rRNA from 1 species
UACAGGGGGUGCAAACGUUGCUCGGAAUUAUUGGGCGUAAAGCGCACGUAGGCGGUCUGUUAUGUCGGAUGUGAAAGCCCUUGGCUUAACUAAGGAAGUGCAUCCGAAACUGGCAGGCUAGAGUACUAAAGAGGGUCGCGGAAUUCCCGGUGUAGAGGUGAAAUUCGUAGAUAUCUGGAGGAACACCGGUGGCGAAGGCGGCAUUCUGGACCGACAUUGACGCUGAGGAGCGAAAGCCAGGGGAGCAAACGGG